GACGAACGCUGGCGGCGUGCUUAACACAUGCAAGUCGAACGAGUGGGAACGGGUGAGUAACACGUGGGUAACCUCCCAUCAGAGGGGAUAACACUUGGAAACAGGUGCUAAACCGAUACUGAUGGAUGGACCCGCGGUGCAUUAGCUAGUUGGUGAGGUAACGGCUCACCAAGGCCACGAUGCAUAGCCGACCUGAGAGGGUGAUCGGCCACACAGGGACUGAGACACGGCCCAGACUCCUACGGGAGGCAGCAGUAGGGAAUCUUCGGCAAUGGACGAAAGUCUGACCGAGCAACGCCGCGUGAGUGAAGAAGGUUUUCGGAUCGUAAAACUCUGUUGUUAGAGAAGCGGUAUCUAACCAGAAAGCCACGGCUAACUACGUGCCAGCAGCCGCGGUAAUAC
rnacentral:rRNA from 1 species